CUGGAUGUUGUGGAAGAGCUGAGAACAGAGCAGGGCCUCCGGGUGGGCUCUGGCCCGGGAAAAGGGCAGGGAGGAGAACAAUCUGGCUGGAUCCCUUGGGGAGGAGAGUCCUUAGCCUGAUCAGGUGGCUUGGCUUGGGUUGUCUGGCAGCUGAGGCAGGAGAGCAGAGAGGCCUCCCAGCAGAAUAUUAGGCAAGCAGCUCGUUAGAGGAAGACCUUUUCCAUUGCUCCAGCACAGUGGAACCUGAUGAGAAGUAGCACUCCUUCCCUGUAUCAGGUAGAAGAAAGCAUAUAUCCAUUGAUCAUAAAAGCCCAGUCAGGCCAACAGCAUUGGUGUGAUGGAAUCUGCAUUGAAGUGUGGCAUGCAGUUUCUGGCCAAGGAUUCUCCAGUCAGCAGAAUAGUGCUUCAAUGGGGAAAUCUAAUGUCAAGCCCUCUAAUGAGAAUGUAGAUGUCAGCACAAAAUCUGCCAUACAUCUUUAUCCUGUGUCAUCGCAUUCUAAACUGAUGAUAAACGUCUGGCCUGAGAAUUCAGUAUUGUACUGUAUUAGUGCAAUUUAUAUCUUAUGUGGAAGCUGAUGAUGUGUUGAGAUCGCAUUGUGCCCUUGUCUGGAUUCUCACUCAGCACCCAAAUGGAUAGUGCUGCCCUGGUGAUUACACAGGCACUUUUUUUUAUGAAAUAAAGUGGUUCUCGUGUUGUGGUCA
rnacentral:lncRNA from 1 species